GCCAGACUCCUACGGGAGGCAGCAGUGAGGAAUAUUGGUCAAUGGACGAAAGUCUGAACCAGCCAUGCCGCGUGCAGGAAGACGGCUCUAUGAGUUGUAAACUGCUUUUGUACAAGGGUAAACCUGAAUACGUGUAUUCAGCUGAAAGUACUGUACGAAUAAGGAUCGGCUAACUCCGUGCCAGCAGCCGCGGUAAUACGGAGGAUGCAAGCGUUAUCCGGAUUUAUUGGGUUUAAAGGGUGCGUAGGCUGUGAGGUAAGUCAGCGGUGAAAUGCCCCCGCUCAACGGGGUGAAGUGCCAUUGAUACUGCCUUGCUGGAAUGCGGAUGCCGUGGGAGGAAUGUGUGGUGUAGCGGUGAAAUGCAUAGAUAUCACACAGAACACCGAUUGCGAAGGCAUCUCACGAAGCCGCGAUUGACGCUGAUGCACGAAAGCGUGGGUAUCAAACAGGAUUAGAUACCCCAGUAA
rnacentral:rRNA from 1 species